UACGAAGGUGGCAAGCGUUACUCGGAAUUACUAGGCGUAAAGGGCAGGUAGGUGGUUUGGUAAGUCUGUUGUGAAAGCUCCUGGCUUAACUGGGAGAGGUCAAUAGAUACUGCUGAACUUGAGUAUAGGAGAGGUUACUGGAAUUCCCGGUGUAGCGGUGAAAUGCGCAGAGAUCGGGAGGAACACCAAUGGCGAAAGCAGGUAACUGGACUAUUACUGACACUAAGCUGCGAAAGCUAGGGGAGCAAACAGG
rnacentral:rRNA from 1 species